rfam:Medicago truncatula strain A17 chromosome 7, whole genome shotgun sequence.
AAACCAUAUGAUGAAUAUGGAUUGUCAUUUUCUCACGACGGUCGUCUGAGUUAACUAUGAUGAAAUAAUCCUAUAUUUCUGAUGGUU